rnacentral:rRNA from 1 species
GACGUAGGUGGCGAGCGUUAUCCGGAAUUAUUGGGCGUAAAGGAUGCGUAGAUGGUGUAGUAAGUUAUCGGUGGUAAAUCGAGGCUCAACCUCGUGGAAGUCGGUAAUACUGCUAUGCUAGAGGAUAGGAGAGGUUAACGGAACUCCCUGUGGAGCGGUGAAAUGCGUAGAUAUAGGGAAGAACACCAAUAAGGCGAAGGCAGUUAACUAUUCUAUUCCUGACAUUGAGGCAUGAAAGCGUGGGGAGCAAAACGG